GGUAACCUACGGGGGGCAGCAGUGAGGAAUAUUGGUCAAUGGACGCAAGUCUGAACUAGCCAUGCCGCGUGCAGGAUGACGGCUCUAUGAGUUGUAAACUGCUUUUGUACGAGGGUAAUAUCAGAUACGUGUAUCUGCUUGAAAGUAUCGUACGAAUAAGGAUCGGCUAACUCCGUGCCAGCAGCCGCGGUAAUACGGAGGAUCCAAGCGUUAUCCGGAUUUAUUGGGUUUAAAGGGUGCGUAGGCGGAUUGAUAAGUUAGAGGUGAAAUGUCCGGGCUCAACUCGGGAACUGCCUCUAAUACUG
rnacentral:rRNA from 1 species